AUGGUCACUUUGACAACACAUAUACUAAAAUUGGAACGAUACAGAGAAGAUUAGCGUGGCCCCUGUGCAAGGAUGGCGUGCAAAUUCAUGAAGCGUUCCAUAUUUAU
rnacentral:snRNA from 1 species